rnacentral:rRNA from 1 species
UACGUAGGGUGCGAGCGUUAAUCGGAAUUACUGGGCGUAAAGCGUGCGCAGGCGGUUGUGCAAGACAGAUGUGAAAUCCCCGGGCUCAACCUGGGAACUGCAUUUGUGACUGCACGGCUGGAGUGCGGCAGAGGGGGAUGGAAUUCCGCGUGUAGCAGUGAAAUGCGUAGAUAUCUGGAGGAACACCGGUGGCGAAGGCGGCAUCCUGGACCGGCAUUGACGCUGAUGAGCGAAAGCCAGGGGAGCAAACAGG